CUGGGCGAGCUGUGCAGUCUGAUUUCCAGUGGGUCCCUGCACAGAUGGGACACAGCUGAGGGAUCGCAGGCUGUGGGCAUUCCUUGGCCCAGUGGCUAGAUUUCUGGCACUUGAAGCAAGAUCCUGAGAUUGAAGGCCAUCUGGACAUUUAUGUGUAGGUCACAGGGGUUACAAUGGCUGAGCUUUGGCUCAGAGACCUGACAAAGCCCAGAAGCUAAACAGGGUUUGGCCUGCCUGGGGCUUGGAUGGGGCACCGCCUGGGGAUACUGGGCCCAGGACCUCCCAGUGGGUUUCCGUCCCAGCAGCCCGGGCGCCACAGCAGUCUGACAGCGCCCCAUCCCAGAAGCUCACCUGCACCCCUGCUGUGGAAGAAAACCUACCUAUAGGGGUACUCCCUGGCAGCCCAUGAAGCCAUAGUAGCCUGAAAGUGCUCAAGCCCAGAAAACAAUAGUUACUUCUGUGAGAUGAAUGGAAACUAUGUUCCAAUGGGAUCCAAAAUGUCCCUUCAAAAAUUCUACAAAAAGACUGCUUCCAAUCUGCUUAAUCAGAACAAAGGUUUAACUCCAUGAGAUGCAUCCAAACAUUGCAAAGCAU
ensembl:lncRNA LINC02167 long intergenic non-protein coding RNA 2167